GACGAAGGAUGCAAGCGUUAUCCGGAUUCAUUGGGUUUAAAGGGAGCGUAGGUGGCCUUAUAAGUCAGUGGUGAAAUCUCUGGGCUUAACCCAGAAAUUGCCAUUGAUACUGUAGGGCUUGAGUAUAUAUGCCGUUGGCGGAAUAUGACAUGUAGUGGUGAAAUACAUAGAGAUGUCAUAGAACACCGAUUGCGAAGGCAGCUAACGAAACUAUAACUGACACUGAGGCUCGAAAGUGUGGGGAUCAAACAGG
rnacentral:rRNA from 1 species